GUCUGAUGGAGCAACGCCGCGUGAGUGAAGAAGGGUUUUCGGCUCGUAAAAACUCUGUUGUUUAAAGAAGAACAUAUCUGAGAGUAACUGUUCAGGUAUUUGACGGUAUUUAAACCAGAAAGCCACGGCUAACUACGUGCCAGCAGCCGCGGUAAUACGUAGGUGGCAAGCGUUGUCCGGAUUUAUUGGGCGUAAAGCGAGCGCAGGCGGUUUUUAAGUCUGAUGUGAAAGCCUUCGGCUCAACCGAAGAAGUGCAUCGGAAACUGGGAAACGUUGAGUGCAGAAGAGGACAGUGGAACUUCAUGUGUAGCGGUGAAAUAGCGUAGAUAUAUGGAAGAACUACCAGUGGCGAAGGCGGCUGUCUGGUCUGUAACUGACGCUGACGGCUCGAAAGUAUGGGUAGCAAACAGGAUUAGAUACCCUGGUAG
rnacentral:rRNA from 1 species